UACAGAGGUCUCAAGCGUUGUUCGGAUUCAUUGGGCGUAAAGGGUGCGUAGGUGGCGCGGUAAGUCGGGUGUGAAAUUUCGGAGCUUAACUCCGAAACUGCAUUCGAUACUGCCGUGCUUGAGGACUGGAGAGGAGACUGGAAUUUACGGUGUAGCAGUGAAAUGCGUAGAGAUCGUAAGGAAGACCAGUGGCGAAGGCGGGUCUCUGGACAGUUCCUGACGCUGAGGAGCGAAAGCGUGGGGAGCGAACAGG
rnacentral:rRNA from 1 species